UAGAGUAAAAACAAAGAGAAUAAAAGUUGAGUGGGAGAGAAUGCGAAAAUAGAGAAGGCGAGGAGAAGGUCGAGAGAAUAAGCAAAAGCUGAAAAUUUGUUUCUUCGACCUUUUUUUGUAAACCCGUUCGGAAGAGUUUGACAGUACAAUUGUUUUUCUGGUCCGAGGAGGGCAUGAAUCUGAAGUUUUCUUCCACUGAAUCCGACGACGAAUGGAUUGUCGAGAAGGAGACAAAGGAACAACAAUAUGAGAUUCUCAUACCGGAUAUUCCACAGAGAAGCAGCGGGACCAACGAGAGAUAAAUCAAAUGGAAAAUUGGAGAAGGUAUACGUUAGAGUGAGAUGAGUUUUACUUGAAUGGUAGAAACGAAUAAGUUUUACAUCAAUAAUUUUGAUGUAUUUUUUUUACAUUGAUUAUCAAUUUAAAGGAUUUCAGAAUGGAGUUUUACACUGA